GGGCCGGCUGAGGCGGCCGCGUGGUGCCUGCGGGUGGCGGGCGGAGCGGGGUCGCGCUCCUCCGGGGGAGGGCUGCGGCGUUGGGGCUGAUAAGGCGCUGCUCGGAGGACCGGGCAGGAGCAGGCGCUGCGCAGGGCUUGAGCUACCUCCCAAAUGUUGUCGCAGUCAUCAAUCGCUACUUGCCGGCAGAGCAACUGAAGGCUGUAGACAGAUUUGUUUCUCUUCCUUGCCAGAAACCAAGCGACCAAAUGGGGCUACCUCGCAGCUUGUGGAAGAACAGGCACUUCUCUCUCAGCACAUGUCUAUGUGAUUUAAAUUAUAUCUGGUGGGGCAGGUCUCUCAACACAAUAAACUUCCUUACAAGGCUUUCUGCUUUAUAUCUGAGGAAAAGCAAGAUGCAACACAGGCACCAAAGUAGUAGACGACCAGCGGUUCCACUCGGAUCACGGAUUUUAACUGAUCCUUCUAAGGUCUUUGAGCAUAACAUGUGGGACCACAUGCAAUGGUCACAAGAAGAAGAGGAGAAUGCCAAGAAAAAAGCAACAGAGAACUCCCUUGUGAAAGUUCAAUCAGAAGACCAAGAUAAAUAUGAGAAAGAAGCCAGUAAAUAUUGGAAUGAAUUUUACAAGACCCAUAAAAAUAGCUUUUUCAAGGAUCGCAAUUGGCUGUUUCUGGAGUUUCCAGAAAUUCUUCCAGAAAAAAGGAGACAUGAGUUCAAAAUAGAAAAAAUAUCUUCAGAACACACAAAAAUAAAUAAUAACAACAGUUUUUCAUUUGAAAAUGAAAUGCUUAAAGAAGGAGAGAAAUACUGGAGGAAAAAUUAUAGAGGUGGUUCUACUGCUGGACAAGGAUGUGUAUAUAAUGAAAAUCAAGCAAAGGCUCUUACAGACAAUCCUCAAGGUAAAAACUGUGGAGAAGAAUUUGGCAAGCUAGAAUCCUUCCCUGGUUGUGAUGCCACGUACCGAAUAUUAGAGGUUGGUUGUGGAGCUGGAAACAGUGUCUUUCCUAUUUUGAAAGUUUUAUGCAAUACACCUGGAACCUUUCUAUACUGUUGUGAUUUUGCUUCAGGAGCAGUGGAGCUGGUAAAGUCACAUUCGUCCUACAAUUCAGCCUGGUGUUCUGCCUUUGUUCAUGAUGUGUGUGAUGAUGCUUUACCCUAUCCUUUUCCAGAUGAGAUCCUGGAUGUCAUUCUCCUUGUCUUUGUGCUCUCUACUAUUCAUCCUGACAGGAUGCAAGGGGUUGUAAAUAGGUUGGCUAAGCUACUGAAACCUGGAGGAAUGUUGUUAUUUCGAGACUAUGGAAGAUACGAUACAGCUCAACUUCGCUUUAAAAAAGGUCAUUGCUUGUCAGAAAAUUUUUAUGUAAGAGGAGAUGGAACCAGAGUCUAUUUCUUUACCAAAGAUGAGGUAUGGAACAUGUUCAACUUGGCUGGAUUAACUGAAGUACAGAAUUUAGUUGAUCGGCGAUUACAAGUAAACAGAAAGAAAAAAGUGAAAAUGCAGCGAGUUUGGAUACAGAGCAAGUUCCAGAAGCCGUUGCUAUCUCUGCAUUAUCCUGAAGAAACCACCAAAAGGCACCCUUGUAAAUAAUUGUACUCCAGAAAUGUGGUAUAGAAAUGAACUCCAGAAACUGAAGCAAAUUUAAGGAACAAUGUUUUUACCUUCUUUCAAGUAGAACCGUAUAGUGACAGAAGCUACAUUCCUAACCUCCUGGGAAGGAAAUACCAGAGAAUAACAGAAGUGUCUGUAUCCUGAUUGUGUUCAAUCAAGAAAAAUCAGCAAAGCUAACAUUGCCAGACCAUAAUGAAGAAUACUCCAGUGUACUGAGAGCUACUGGGCUGCAGAUCCACCACUAAAAAUCUCCGGUGCUUGAUGCUGAACCAAGAAAAGAAAAAUACAAAAUGAAAAAUCCUGCAUUGGCUGAAGGACAUGCAGAAUUCUUUCCCAUCUGUACUUUUGGUGAUUGUUAAUACUUGUGUGAAACACUGCUGGACUGCCAUAGAGCAAAUUACAAGCAAGAGAUGAAUGUGUCUGGUUUGAUCUUUGAGCUUCUUUGAUAUGAUGCAGGUAAGAGUUAAUGUCAUCUCUACAUAUUGUGGCAUGUUUAACAUCUGCUGUUCCUUUCUGGGUUUGUUUGCAGUUUCAGUCCUUAGCUUAUGACCUUUCCUUUUUUUAAUUUAGCCAUUGAUUACAGCCCAGAACAUGUGAUUCAUUUGAACUGCAAAAUCCCUGUUUCUUAUGGUACUAAUAAGCAUUGUGCCGACUGAAAGCUGUAGCAGAAGAGAAAGGGAGGAGGCCUAACAGGCUUGACACUGUCUUUUGUCGGUGUUGCAGCAAGGGGAGAAGGAAAUAUGUAUAGGAAUUGUCUUAUCAUCAUGCACACAUACACAUGUACAUAAGCUUUUUUUAUUUGUUUAUCUAAUCUCUUGGAUGCUUUUUCAAUGCCUGUCUUAACCCUUUGUUCUUGAAGUAAGCAAGGAAAAACUAUAUGACAGGCAUUUAAUUUUUUUCUUUCUCAAGAGCAGCUAGUGUCCCUUGUGCUGAGAAGAAAAUGGGACUGUGUGGAAAGCUAAAUUUCAAUUAACACAUCAAAGGGCAGUUUGUGGUGUUUUGCCUAUAGCUAGGGUUUAACUGAGUUGCAGGACUCUGGGAAUUUUGUGUUUUCCUAUAGGCUCACUUACUGCAUUCUUACCUCUCCUACUUUUCUGCUCUUCCUCUGCUUCUCUGAAGGGGACAAAUGAAAGCAGUAUAAUCUUGUUGAAUAUGGUUCUUGCUGAUGAAUUAGAUGAACAGCUGCUGCGAACAGUCUAGGAAUACAAUUUGGUGAAAAAAAGAGAUGAGAUCCAAACAAAUUCCCUUAUUAUGCCAUUCAUUCUAUAUGCAGAAUUAUACCAGAUUGGUGGAAAAACGGGAGGGCCUAAAAUUCAAUUUCACUUGAAGCUGGUGUAAAAAGAAGCAAUUCUACAUACAUUGCAGCCACAAAAACAUAAAUUUAUAAGCACAGGCUUUUACUUUGUAGGUAGAAACUGCACAGCUGUAUACAUUUGAUUUUCUACAUGCAUAAGAACUUAUUUUACAGGCACAACUAUUGUACUUUCUUCUCAGUACUUCCUGAACAGUUAUGCUAAUUCUUACAUUAUGUAGUUCAUAUCUUUUCUUUGUGCUUUAAACCAGGUUGGGAAGGGGGAGAAAACCCUACAUUUUGGCAUGCAGGACAAUCAAAAAUCCAAUCCAGAAAAUGGAGAAGUCAUUGGUGUGUCAGUGUUCCUGCAAUAUCCUGAAUGUGCACAUUUUUGCAUUGUAAAAAUCCAGCAUGCAAUUGUGUGUUAAGAUUGGAAAUUAAAGCUAAUCUCCUCAGUUGCCUUAUGAAUGUUAUACACAAAAUGAAGCAAUAGCAUUUUGCCUUUUUGUCUUGCUACUUUAGUGAAUUCUUUCACAGUUGUUUUUCACCUAGCAGAGUCUGGGAAAUACACAAAGAAUUAAACACACUCUCUACAGAAAUGGGAGAGCCAAAUGGAAGAGAAUUACAUUGAUCUUGGAUCAAUUAACAUUUAGCGUAGUUCUAACAAUUCACAUAUUUUGGAAAGGUUGAUGGGGAUCUUGGUAAUCUAGGCCUGCUAAAGCCUUUGGCCACACAUCCAUAUUUUGAACCAGAUGUCUGUGGUUUACUGACUUGUUUCCUUUCAUCCCACUGCAGGCCAGUAGUAGGAGCUGGAUUCUUUUCUUGGUUGGUGGGUUUAAAACAAAUUGAAAGCUUCUUAUGCUACGUACAUUUUGUAAACGACAAGCUUGGUCUGAAAAUAUAACCAUUUUAGAGUUUUAGGCAAGUAAUUUUAAAGAAUUUAAAAUGUUAUUCUGGAACAAAAUUUUUUUCAUGCUUAGAAAAUUGGAAGAGGCCUUCUUGGUAGAUACAAAAAAUGGAAAAACAAAUAUGUAGUUUUUAAAAUUGACUCUUAGAAAUAAUCUAAAAGUUUAACAGUAGUCAUGAAGACUUCAACAUAAAUGAUAUUUUGGUUUCUUUAAAAGGGAUCACAUUAGUUCUCAGGAUGGAAGUGUCACGAGAUCAAUUGUAACUAUACCUUGACACUCUGUGCCUCUAUGCAUGUGCAUAGCUUGAUAUUAUCUAAGUAUCAGUAACAGUGAUACCUAAAGCUACCGAGGGUAAACACAGGUUUCUGAUGACAGCAUCUUAAGUACAGGAGAAAAGCUCCUGUGUGGUUAUGUUUAUAAUACCAUCAUAUCCCCGAGGUGCUGACAGAGCUUCAUUGACAGUUCUCCUAUGAGCUGUUUUUCUGUAUUUCAUGUAUCACUUCUCUUUCUUGAUGAAAAUCAUUGAUAUUUCUUCACUUUAAAUAACGACACCACGAAUUAACAUCAUAAUAACUUUUAGUAGCCUGGUUAUUUUAAAGGAAUUCAAAAUCUCAGUUUGACUUCUUAAUGGUUGUAAAAGGUAUGUUUUGGACAAUAGAACUGUAUUUUAACAAAUAAUGUAAUUAAUAAAGAAUAACUCUUUGAUACAUGUAUGUUUAAAAAAUGUUAAAGCUAGUUUGUUUUUUUGGGGUUUUUUUCUGAAUGAUUUUUUAUUUUAUGUGGAGGUUUGCUAUACUUUACUAAGGCCUUGGGUCCCCAGUUGUAACAGUUGUACUGCUUAAUCUGUAGCAGCCAAGUUAAAUGAAACAGGUUCUCCAGUCAUGAAAUCAUUAUGGGGGGGAAAAAAAAAGGAGGUCCAGUCCAUCCCUGUUGUGGCAGGAAGUGGGUAACUAGGUCAUCCCUGACAGAUGUUUGUAUAGGCUGCUGUUAAAAACCACAAAUGAAGGGGAUUCCACAACCUCAUAAAUUUAUUCCAUCUAAUUUAGACUUUAGGUUGAAAGGAUUUUUUUUGCUGUAGUUUCAUUUUUUACAUCUAGUCUACUCCGAUGCAAAUUAAGCAAUUACUUGUUUUAAUUCAGGUGUGUACAAAGAUCUGUUGACCAUGACUUUCUGUAUGCAACCUUUUAUGCAUUUUCCUCCCAGUCUUCUUUUUCUGAGAAAGCCAAGCCUCAUUUCUUCAACCUUUCCUUGUAAGUCAUAUUCUCAAAAUAUCAUUCUUGUUGAUUUCAUUUCAACUUCAUCCAAAUUGUUGAAAUUGUUCUUGGAGUGCAUUGCCCAAAAUUGCACAGAAUGCUCCAGCUGAGACCUCAGCAGCACUGAAGAUUGCAAGAUAAUUAGGUCCUGCAUCUCACAUGCUGCACACUUCCUACUACAUCUUGGAAUGUGAAAUGCCUUUCUGCAACAUCAUCAUGCUGACUCAUAUUUAGUUUGAAAUCCACUUGAACCUUCCUAGCCUUCUUUGCAAUCCUGUUGCCUUGUUAAAGCAUCCUCAGGUUAUAUUAAUAUACUGUGUUUUAUUUUUGUCAAUUUCCCUCUGUCUAGUAUGAGUUUAUUGCAGUUGUACUGUUUCUCACAUAAUCUAAAUAUUUUGCAUUCUGAUCUGCUUUCCUGUGUUUGCAACCCCCUUCCAGACUUUUUGCAAAUGAUACAAGUUUACUCCCUUUCCUGUUUUCCAAACUGUUCAAUGAAAAAUUGAAGAGCAUAGGACGGAUGAGAAGUCCCUGAAGGAUGUUGCUGCCAUUCUACCCUACUCUGUCAGGGAACCAUUAAAUAAAUACUCUUUGGGAGAAAUACUUCAUAACUUGUGUAUCAACAAUUACUUGAAUUUGUCUACACCAUUUUUUGUAUUGCAGGCAAAAUUAGAGAGGACUAACUAAAGGCUUUUUUAAAGUACAGAUACCCCAUUUACUGCUUCCUUCUUGUUCAAUAGGCCUGCUGCCCUUUCUAAGAAGGAAAUUGGAGAGGUUUGACACAGUAAUGAUUCUAAGAUUACAUUUUAAAAUCUUACUACAUAAUUGUUUUCUAUCAUAUUGUUAUCUUCAUGCCUGUACACUAACUGCCUAAUAACCUCUGACAGUAGCUCUCAGAGAUGCAUGGUUAUUUAUGAAAGUUAGGCCAAUGCAAUUUUUUUUCCUAAGACAGGCAUUAUUUUCAUCGUUUCUAGUCUUCUAGGACCUCCCUUGCACUUCAUGAAUUUUCAAAAAAACCCAAACCAAAACAAAACCCUCUCCACAACACCCUCCCCUGCUCCCAUCCCAGAAUCAUCAUACAGAGAUUAUUUUAUCUUUUAAGUGCUCCAGGGUAAUUUUUAGCACAUUUUCCUGUGGACACACAGUUUAUAUGAUCCCACAUAUGACCAGUCAGAACACACCAUGCCUUUUGAACUUGUUGCUCACUCUCCAACUGAACGGGACUGAGUAGUUGUGAUCUCAGAGAUACCACAUUUCUACAGAUUUUGUGAAAAUAAGCAGGUAAAUAGAGAGUUUUCCAUGGCAACAAGGAAUUCAGUGUAAAUGAAACCCUGAUAUCAGGCAUUGGAAAACUCACAGAAGAAUGUUAUGAAUAUUUCAGCUAUAAACUUCAGUCAUACUUUUUCCUCUGGGCUAAUGCAAACAGGAGACACAGGGCUACAGGGAUGCUGGCUUUAUCCACUGCUUUCUGAACUACAUGUUUAAGUCAGCAGGAUUGGAAACUGGCAUUCCUUAAUAUUGCUUAACACAUUCCUUCCCUUUUCUGGUCCAUGUGUCUUAGACAUUUCUUAAAAUUAUUUGCUUUGCAUGUCUGACACUAAGAUAUUUUGUAGACACAUUAGGCAAAUAAGAGCACUGAAUAUACGUCUUCUCUGUGUCACAUUAUUUGCUAUCUUUUACUUAGAUACUGGAUUUGAACUUUUCUUUGUCUCCCUUAGUUUGUGUGUGUGUAACCUUUUAUUGGCUUUUAGGUCCUUUCCUAGAUUAACUCAUUUAUCCUCUUAGCCUUCACCAUUUGUUCCUUGUGUGAGUUUACUAUUCCUUUAAACCCAUUUUUAGUCAUUGGUUCUCGUUUUCACUCUUUUGCAUGAUUGCUUCCUGUUUUUUAGUUAACCAAAUAGCUCCUGAUGAAGCCUCGCUGCUCUCUUUCAGUGCUUACUUUACAUCAGGGUAGUCUGCUCUUGUGCCUUUAAUACACUUCUUUCAGUAACUGAUGUAUCUCCUAUGCUCUAUUUCCUUAUUAAUUUCUUCCGAAAGAUCUACCCACCCAUUCAAUCCGUAAGCCAAGAAAAAUCCACUUUUGGUAGCCCAUACUCUUUCUGUCACUCUAUGCUUUCUUUGGCAUCAUUAAUUUUAUUGUUUUGUGAUCAGUUUCAUGUUUAUAUCUUCCACCUUUUUCUCAUUAGGAAGUAUUAACUGAUGAGCUAACUAUGCAAAAUAGCCUUUUCUCUCUUAUCCCCUCAACUGUCUGAAAUCUCAGUACUCUGAAAGAAAGGUUGCUCCAAAUCUGCUGACUAUGGGGCUGUUAUCUUUUUUUGGAUCUAUGCUUGGACAGAACAAGGGAUAGGACACUGAACUGAGUGGCUGUCAGAACAGUUGGAGAAAAGCAGCUCCCCUAUUCCCAGCACAGGGGGCAUUGCAGAAUGAUGCAGCAGACCAGCUCACCUAGAGCUGGAAGGGAACAGAGGCAGAGAAUUUGUAAUUAGAAUACUGUUAUUUUAGUAUAUAAUAUUUAAUCAUCUUCCAGGCUUAAUGUUGAUGUUUUGUGGCCAAACAAAGAAGGCCUUAUUCAACAAUUACAAAAAACCCUGAACCCCUUAAACUGGUAAGACUCUUGCCUGAAAAAAACAUCAAGACACGCCCUAUUGCUAUUGGAAACCACAUACAGGCAUGGCUCUCUGCAAACACUGUCUGCCUCUCAUGGCUUAAAAUCAAAGGCAACAAAAUAAGCUCCAGGCAAGACAGAUACUUCAGGAAAGAAGAUAUAAGGUGUAAAGAGUGAGACAGAACUAUGAAAGAUGUGUGGAAAAGCAUGAGCUUAAAAAAACAUGGAGAGGAAGCCUGACAGAUAAGAGGGGCCUGUUUACCUGAGAGCAGCAUUGUAAAAGGAAUAGUCUGAGUGUAGGAAAAAUUGCAGGGAAGAGCAGACAAGUAGAUUGCAAGGGACAUGGGAAGAAAAGUAAUAUAAUAAAAUGAAAACAGACAGGUGGGGAAAAAAAGUGAGUGUAGCAUCCAUCAAGAUGAUUUCUUUUAUUUCUUCAUUGGGGAACAUUUAAAACCAAAUUAUUUUUUAUUAAAAUGACUUAAACAAGAAGAUUGUAAAACUCUCCUUGAUUCUGACUAGAAUGUAGCUAACAAUCAAAGUAGCUAGAGUUGAAGUCAAAAGGAACAUUUCUAUGGCAAAACCCCCCCACAAAUUCCAUUAAAUUUUUGUGUUUGGUUUGACAGGAAGCUGUUUGCGGGCUUCAUGGAGAUUUGGAGCAAAAAUCAUUACAGCAGAGGUGGAUCACUGGAUCAGACUAAUGGUGAUGAUAUUAAAGGUAUAAUAAAUGCUGUUUAUGACAAUCACAUAGAUUAUAAAAAUAGAUUUGUGUUUA